AGGACGAACGCUGGCGGCGUGCUUAACACAUGCAAGUCGAGCGAGGCCCUUCCUUCGGGAAGGUGUCCUAGCGGCGAACGGGUGAGUAACACGUGGGCAACCUGCCCUCAGCUCUGGGAUAACUCCGGGAAACCGGGGCUAAUACCGGAUACGACCUCCAAGGGCAUCCGAAGAGGUGGAAAGUUUUUCGGCUGAGGAUGGGCCCGCGGCCUAUCAGCUUGUUGGUGGGGUGACGGCCUACCAAGGCGACGACGGGUAGCCGGCCUGAGAGGGUGACCGGCCACACUGGGACUGAGACACGGCCCAGACUCCUACGGGAGGCAGCAGUGGGGAAUAUUGCGCAAUGGGCGAAAGCCUGACGCAGCGACGCCGCGUGAGGGACGAAGGCCUUCGGGUUGUAAACCGUCUUUCAGCAGGGACGAAGCGAAAGUGACGGUACCUGCAGAAGAAGCACCGGCCAACUACGCGCCAGCAGCCGC
rnacentral:rRNA from 1 species